CCUCCACAGCUUCUUACAUUUUCGUCGAGCUUCUUUUCCCUCUCAACCAAAUUUUCCCCUUUACCCUAAAUUUGAGAUUUUCACCCUAUGUUUCACUUUUGAUUUUUGUCUCAAUUUCACUUUCGAUUUUCGUCUCAAUUUCACUUCCGAUUUUCAUCUAAGCCCCAAUUUCACUUUCGAUUUUGGCCUAAGUUUCACGCGACGCGUUCGUCUCAAAUAUUUGAAGUACGAAAUUAAUGUAGCGUUUCAGAUGAUUAUCCUUUCGUAUUUCCUCUUAUGUUUGAAAUUUCUAUAUACCUAAAGGUAGAAGGCGCUCCAAAUAUGAUGAAAGUGACUCUGAUGAAGAAAACAUGUCCAAGAAAUAGUUGGCUCUUCAAUAAGCUCUUGAUCAAAUCACUUUUGCAUUUGGAAGGGGAUCCAUCAUGUGGCACGGUCGCUCUAUCUCACCAAAAAAUGUGCUUGUUGUGUCUAUAGGUUCUUUUGCUCUUGAUAUAGCACUAGGAAUUGGUGGUCUUCCGAAGGACGUGUUGUGGAAAUAUAUGGCCCAGAGGCUUCUGGAAAAACAACUCUUGCUUUACAUGUGAUUGCAGAAGCACAAAAACAAGGAGGUAUACUCAUAUAAUACAUCAAGAAUGACAAUUGUAAUGUCUAUUUCUUUUGGUUGUAAUGGAUUAACACUUCUAACUUUUUUAGAUGGGACCAUGACCUCAUCAUAAUUAUUGCUGUUACAGAAUUAGAUAAGAUGAUUUAAUCUCCCUGCCCCUUCUUUUUAUGUUUGCUAGUGAUAAUUGUGUUGUUUUCUUUUUCUCAUGACUUCUUAAUAAUUGAAUUUGUUUCUUAGAAUACCCUUUGACGAUUAAUUUUUGGAAAUGACAAAUUGGAUGUUUGAUUCUACACAUGGUUUCUCAUUGUCUGAAACUACUGCUUCAAUAUUAAUACUCUACCAAUGUUGGUGCUAGACUGCUAGUGCUACCAGUUUCCCAGCUACAAAUCUAAUUUGGUUUCUCAAUGUCUAAAUUUUGUGCUAGUAGUUUCCCUGUUUCAGAUGUGUUCUUCCAUUCCAUUAGUUUUAUUUGAACUAUAUUUAUAAAACAAUUAAUAAUGAAGUUGAGGAGGCCUACCCACACAAUUAUAUGAUUUAUUUGUUUAUAAUUUUGUUGCUUGUUGUUUAUCCAGACAUUGAUAUGGUUAUUUGAUACUUGUUAUUGUGUCUUUGUUGAUGCUGAGCAUGCCCUUGACAAGAGACUUGCAGAGUCUAUUGGGGUGAAUACAGAAAACUUGCUUCUCUCCCAACCUGAUUGUGGUGAACAAGCUCUCAGUCUUGUGGAUACUUUAAUCCGUAGUGGUUCAGUUGAUGUAAUUGUUGUUGACAGUGUGAGGUCAAAGCUUUCAACCUUUGGGGGAUUUAGUGGACCUACUGAAGUUACUUAUGGUGGUAAUGCAUUGAAAUUCUAUGCUUUUGUGCAUCUAAAUAUCAAGAGAACAGAGUUUGUCAAGAAGGGUGAAGAGGGUUAUACAAUUCUAUCGAGCUCAAACAGGAUACAUGAUUUCAAAGUCUAAGUCAAACAAUAUCAAUUAGACAACAAUUAAGUGUUCAAGACAAUCCAACAACAUAUUGUGAAGGAAGAACAAUUUCAAUUGAUGGUUUUUAGAUGAAUUAAAGAUGGAAGUAAACUAAGGUGGACUUAGACCCAUGAAAGAAGGAGAAAAAUGAUGAAAAGAAGGGUCAAGCAAGCCGCUAAGCGCCAGAAUGGUCCGCUGAGCGCUCAGAGUGAUUAGAGGGAAACCGUUCAGCGGAAAAACUGACCGCUAAGCGGUCAAAGCGGCAUAAGGCAAACCGCUGAGCGAUGAAGUUAGGUGCGUGGGCGGUUGUCUAUUUUUUUUAGCCAGAUUCUGUAAAUCUUUCUGUAAUCUAUUUGUUAUCUUUGUGGGCUUAUAUAUAGCCCAGUGCGAAUUAGAAGGGGAUUCUUUUGGCAGAGAGAAACGUCCAGAGCUAUUCCACACACCUUGGAGGAGGUUCCUUGGAUGCUUAGGUUCCAAUCAACCAAGCUUAGGGUUAUGUCUUCCAUUCUUUCACCAUAUUUCAUCUAGUUUCACCAUGAUUAUGGUGAACUAAACCCUUUGUUGUUGGGGAACAAUGUAUUUCAAAUUUUGAUUU